UGGGGAAUAUUGCACAAUGGGCGCAAGCCUGAUGCAGCGAUGCCGCGUGCGGGAAGAAGGCCCUAGGGUUGUAAACCGCUUUCAGCAGGGAAGAAAAUGACGGUACCUGUAGAAGAAGGUGCGGCCAACUACGUGCCAGCAGCCGCGGUGACACGUAGGCACCAAGCGUUGUCCGGAUUUAUUGGGCGUAAAGAGCUCGUAGGCGGUUCAGUAAGUCGGGUGUGAAAACUCUGGGCUCAACCCAGAGACGCCACCCGAUACUGCUGUGACUUGAGUACGGUAGGGGAGCGGGGAAUUCCUGGUGUAGCGGUGAAAUGCGCAGAUAUCAGGAGGAACACCAGUGGCGAAGGCGCCGCUCUGGGCCGAAACUGACGCUGAGGAGCGAAAGCAUGGGUAGCAAACAGGAUUAGAUACCCUGGUAGUCCAUGCCGUAAACGUUGGGCACUAGGUGUGGGUCUCAACCAACGAGAUCCGCGCCGUCGCUAACGCAUUAAGCAGACCGCCUGGGGAGUACGGCCGCAAGGUUAAAACUCAAAUGAA
rnacentral:rRNA from 1 species